rnacentral:rRNA from 1 species
UUAAAAAGCUCGUAGUUGGAUUUCUGUGGGGACGGAGCGGCCGGCCGCUACUAGCGGUUCGAGCUAGCGCUUUCCCUACAUCCUGCCGCGAACCGCGCUACCAUUAGUUUGGUGGCGCCGGGGAUCGGCUCGUUUACUUUGAGAAAAAUAGAGUGUUCAAAGCAGGCCACACGCCUUGAAUAAGUUAGCAUGGAAUAAUAACUAAGGACUUCGGUUCUAUUUUGUUGGUGUUCGGGACUGAAGUAAUGAUUGAUAGGGACAGUUGGGGCGGUCCGUAUUCCAAAGCGAGAGGUGAAAUUCUUA